rnacentral:rRNA from 1 species
ACAUGCAAGUCGAACGCCCCGCAAGGGGAGUGGCAGACGGGUGAGUAACGCGUGGGAACAUACCCUUUCCUGCGGAAUAGCUCCGGGAAACUGGAAUUAAUACCGCAUACGCCCUACGGGGGAAAGAUUUAUCGGGGAAGGAUUGGCCCGCGUUGGAUUAGCUAGUUGGUGGGGUAAAGGCCUACCAAGGCGACGAUCCAUAGCUGGUCUGAGAGGAUGAUCAGCCACAUUGGGACUGAGACACGGCCCAAACUCCUACGGGAGGCAGCAGUGGGGAAUAUUGGACAAUGGGCGCAAGCCUGAUCCAGCCAUGCCGCGUGAGUGAUGAAGGCCUUAGGGUUGUAAAGCUCUUUCACCGGAGAAGAUAAUGACGGUAUCCGGAGAAGAAGCCCCGGCUAACUUCGUGCCAGCAGCCGCGGUAAUACGAAGGGGGCUAGCGUUGUUCGGAAUUACUGGGCGUAAAGCGCACGUAGGCGGAUAUUUAAGUCAGGGGUGAAAUCCCAGAGCUCAACUCUGGAACUGCCUUUGAUACUGGGUAUCUUGAGUAUGGAAGAGGUAAGUGGAAUUCCGAGUGUAGAGGUGAAAUUCGUAGAUAUUCGGAGGAACACCAGUGGCGAAGGCGGCUUACUGGUCCAUUACUGACGCUGAGGUGCG